CACGAACCGUACGAACGUUAUUCGGAAUCACUGGGCUUAAAGAGUACGUAGGCGGCUUGGAAGGUUGGGUGUGAAAGCCCUCGGCUCAACCGAGGAAUUGCGCUCAAAACCGCCAAGCUCGAGGGAGAUAGAGGUGAGCGGAACUAAUGGUGGAGCGGUGAAAUGCGUUGAUAUCAUUAGGAACACCGGUGGCGAAAGCGGCUCACUGGGUCUCCUCUGACGCUGAGGUACGAAAGCUAGGGUAGCGAACGGG
rnacentral:misc_RNA from 1 species